GGAUGUGAGGGCGAUCUGGCUGCGAAAUCUGACACCCCAUUGAUCACCAGGGUUGAUUCGGCUGAUCUGGCUGGCUAGGUGGGUGUCCCCUCCUCCCUCAAUGAUCCAUGUGCAUCCCUCCCGAAGCUGCAUGCUCAGUCGAAGAGGAUGACUACCCCCGAUUGAGGAGGACUGUUCCUCAGUCAAGGGUGUACGAGUGUAGCUGCGCUCCCCUGCUAGAACCUCCAAACAAACUUUAAUAUCUAGCAACUUGCUUUUACUUAAAACGAUAGAAUUUUCCAGGUUUUUUCUACCACAUGUUACACUUACUGACUUUGAUGUGUACACAU
ensembl:misc_RNA 7SK 7SK RNA